rnacentral:rRNA from 1 species
GACGAACGCUGGCGGCGGGCUUAACACAUGCAAGUCGAACGGAAAGGCCCUGCUUUUGUGGGGUGCUCGAGUGGCGAACGGGUGAGUAACACGUGAGUAACCUGCCCUUGACUUUGGGAUAACUUCAGGAAACUGGGGCUAAUACCGGAUAGGAUCUCCUGCUGCAUGGUGGGGGUUGGAAAGUUUCGGCGGUUGGGGAUGGACUCGCGGCUUAUCAGCUUGUUGGUGGGGUAGUGGCUUACCAAGGCUUUGACGGGUAGCCGGCCUGAGAGGGUGACCGGCCACAUUGGGACUGAGAUACGGCCCAGACUGCUACGGGAGGCAGCAGUGGGGAAUAUUGCACAAUGGGCGGAAGCCUGAUGCAGCAACGCCGCGUGCGGGAUGACGGCCUUCGGGUUGUAAACCGCUUUCGCCUGUGACGAAGCGUGAGUGACGGUAAUGAGUAAAGAAGCACCGGCUAACUACGUG